rnacentral:rRNA from 1 species
UGGGGAAUCUUGCACAAUGGGCGAAAGCCUGAUGCAGCGACGCCGCGUGAAGGAAGAAGGUCUUCGGAUUGUAAACUUCUGUUAAGUGGGAAAAAAGAACCGGCAGUAAUAUGGUCGGGAGAUGAUGGUACCACUAGAGAAAGCACCGGCAAACUUCGUGCCAGCAGCCGCGGUAAUACGAAGGGUGCGAGCGUUAUUCGGAAUGACUGGGUGUAAAGGGCGUGUAGGCGGGAAAUUAAGUUGAUAGUAAAAGGCCAUAGCCUAACUGUGGUAUAGCUGUCAAAACUGAUUUUCUAGAGUGAGGAAGAGAGAAGUGGAAUUCUCGGAGUAGCGGUAAAAUGCGUAGAUCUCGAGAGGAACACCGAUGGCGAAGGCAGCUUCUUGGUCCUCUACUGACGCUGAGGCGCGAAAGCGUGGGGAGCAAACAGG